UACGUAGGGGGCUAGCGUUGUCCGGAAUCAUUGGGCGUAAAGAGCUCGUAGGCGGCUUGCCACGUCUGCCGUGAAAACCAGCAGCUUAACUGUUGGCUUGCGGUUGAUACGGGCAGACUAGAGGUAGGCAGGGGGAGAGCGGAACUCCUGGUGUAGCGGUGGAAUGCGCAGAUAUCAGGAAGAACACCGGUGGCGAAGGCGGCUCUCUGGGCCUUACCUGACGCUGAGGAGCGAAAGCGUGGGUAGCGAACAGG
rnacentral:rRNA from 1 species